rnacentral:lncRNA from 1 species
GAGAGGUUGUGCGUGCAGUCAAAGCCGUAAACGCAAGCCUUAGCCUGAAAAAAGAAAUAAAUGGACUAAAGCACCAGGGCUGGCUCUGACAGGAAGUGGGGACUCGGGACUUCAAAUACAAACAUUAUGAAAAACAAGCAACAUCUGCAAACAAUGGCGCCUUAAUUUAUAAACAAGUUGGAAAAGCAGAGGGAACAGAAAGGCAGCACCUCCAGGGCAAGCUGCAGCAGCCUUUCAAGGAAGGAAGGGCUGGUCACACCUUCUUUGUUUGCAGGAGAAGGCAGGGCAGCACUGUGCUCACCACAGACUGAAGAGCUGAGUCUCAGAAAGGUCAGGAGACAGUGCUAUGGCAGGAAGCAGAUCAGAGCUGCUGAGAGGCACACUGAGGUGUUCAGCCUUCAGUAUGCAUGGGGAAGGACACUUUCGGGGAUGGCACAAAUAUUUGCCGCUAAGAAGCUAAAGAAAAGCAGUGGAUUAAAGAGCACGGACAGAGCAAAAAACUUUGCUCUUCAUGUCAUUCAAAUUUGUUUACCACCUUUUGCUCUUGGAGGCUUUACUGGCAUUAACAAAAAUCGAAUUGGG